GGGCCCGCACAAGCAGCGGAGCAUGUGGUUUAAUUCGAAGCAACGCGAAGAACCUUACCAGGUCUUGACAUCCAGUAAAGCCUGUAGAGAUACAGAGUCCCUUCGGGGGUACUGAGACAGGUGGUGCAUGGUUGUCGUCAGCUCGUGUCGUGAGAUGUUGGGUUAAGUCCCGCAACGAGCGCAACCCUUGCCGAUAGUUACUAACAAGUUGUGUUGAGGACUCUAUUGGGACCGCCGGGGACAACUCGGAGGAAGGUGGGGACGACGUCAAAUCAUCAUGCCCCUUAUGACCUGGGCUACACACGUGCUACAAUGGCCGAGACAGAGAGCGGCGAAGGAGCGAUCCGGAGCGAAUCUCAGAAAAGCGGUCACAGUUCGGAUUGUGGGCUGCAACCCGCCCACAUGAAGCAGGAGUUGCUAGUAAUCGCGAAUCAGCAUGUCGCGGUGAAUACGUUCCCGGGCCUU
rnacentral:rRNA from 1 species